UGUUUCGGCUAGGGGGCCAUCCCGGCUUACCAACCCGAUGCAAACUGCGAAUACCGGAGAAUGUUAUCACGGGAGACACACGGCGGGUGCUAACGUCCGUCGUGAAGAGGGAAACAACCCAGACCGCCAGCUAAGGUCCCAAAGUCAUGGUUAAGUGGGAAACGAUGUGGGAAGGCCCAGACAGCCAGGAUGUUGGCUUAGAAGCAGCCAUCAUUUAAAGAAAGCGUAAUAGCUCACUGGUCGAGUCGGCCUGCGCGGAAGAUGUAACGGGGCUAAACCAUGCACCGAAGCUGCGGCAGCGACGCUGAUGCGUUGUUGGGUAGGGGAGCGUUCUGUAAGCCUGCGAAGGUGACCUGUGAGGGUUGCUGGAGGUAUCAGAAGUGCGAAUGCUGACAUAAGUAACGAUAAAGCGGGUGAA
rnacentral:rRNA from 1 species